AGAGUUUGAUCCUGGCUCAGAACGAACGCUGGCGGCAGGCUUAACACAUGCAAGUCGAACGCGUGUAGCAAUACACGAGUGGCGCACGGGUGAGUAACACGUGGAUAUCUGCCUUUUGGUUCGGGAUAACCCUGGGAAACUAGGGCUAAUACCGAAUGGUUCCUACGGGAUAAAGAUUUAUCGCCAAAAGAUGAGUCCGCGUCCGAUUAGCUAGUUGGUGAGGUAAUGGCUCACCAAGGCGACGAUCGGUAGCUGGUCUGAGAGGACGAUCAGCCACACUGGGACUGAGACACGGCCCAGACUCCUACGGGAGGCAGCAGUGGGGAAUAUUGGACAAUGGGGGCAACCCUGAUCCAGCCAUGCCGCGUGAGUGAUGAAGGCCUUCGGGUUGUAAAGCUCUUUUGGCGGGGACGAUGAUGACGGUACCCGCAGAAUAAGCCCCGGCUAACUUCGUGCCAGCAGCCGCGGUAAGACGAAGGGGGCUAGCGUUGUUCGGAAUUACUGGGCGUAAAGCGCGUGUAGGCGGUUGUCCAAGUUGGAUGUGAAAGCCUUGAGCUCAACUCAAGAAAUGCAUUCAGGACUGGAUGACUAGAGGACCGGAGAGGAUAGUGGAAUUCCCAGUGUAGUGGUGAAAUACGUAGAGAUUGGGAAGAACACCAGUGGCGAAGGCGGCUAUCUGGACGGUUUCUGACGCUAAGACGCGAAAGCGUGGGGAGAAACAGGAUUAGAUACCCUAGUAGUCC
rnacentral:rRNA from 1 species